AAAGAAAUUUUAAUCGUUGUACUGUUGAUAUUUGGCUCUGUUGACUAAUGAGUUUGCCGACGACUGUUCUAGGGCAAAGGUAACAAAGGAGAAAAUAAACAAAUGGGACUACGUCAAAAUAAAAAGCUCCUGCAUAAGCAACAGAAACCACCAACAAAACAACAAGCAAGCCC